UGCAGCUCGAACGCGAAGAACCCGACAUGGGGUUGGUAGCGUGGCAAACGGGUGAGUAACGCGUGGGCGACCUACCUUCGAGUGGGGGAUAACCUUCCGAAAGGAGGGCUAAUACCGCAUGACAUCCCGUGUUUGGAUACACGGAGAUCAAAGCCGGGGAUCGCAAGACCUGGCGCUUGAAGAGGGGCCCGCGUCCGAUUAGCUAGUUGGCGAGGUAACGGCUCACCAAGGCUCCGAUCGGUAUCCGGCCUGAGAGGGCGGACGGACACACUGGAACUGAGACACGGUCCAGACUCCUACGGGAGGCAGCAGUGGGGAAUUGCUCGCAAUGGGCGCAAGCCUGACGACGCAACGCCGCGUGGUGGAUGAAGACCUUCGGGUCGUAAACUCCUUUCGACCGAGAUGAAGAGGCGCCGGCCUAACACGCCGGCGUCCUGACAGUAUCGAGGGAAGCAGCCCCGGCUAACUCCGUGCCAGCAGCCGCGGUAAUACGGGGGGGGCAAGCGUUGUUCGGAAUUACUGGGCGUAAAGGGUUUGUAGGUGGCCGACUAAGUCAGACGUGAAAUCCCUCAGCUUAACUGGGGAACUGCGUCUGGGACUGGUGGGCUUGAGGGCCGGAGAGGAACGCGGAAUUCCAGGUGUAGCGGUGAAAUGCGUAGAUAUCUGGAGGAACACCGGUGGCGAAGGCGGCGUUCUGGACGGCAUCUGACACUGAGAAACGAAAGCCAGGGGAGCAAACGGGAUUAGAUACCCCGGUAGUCCUGGCCCUAAACGAUGAAUGCUUGGUGUGGCGGGGUAUCGAUCCCUGCCGUGCCGAAGUUAACGCAUUAANCAUUCCGCCUGGGGAGUACGGUCGCAAGGCUGAAACUCA
rnacentral:rRNA from 1 species